AUUGAACGCUGGCGGCAUGCCUUACACAUGCAAGUCGAACGGUAACGCGGGGCAACCUGGCGACGAGUGGCGAACGGGUGAGUAAUGCAUCGGAACGUGCCCAGUAGUGGGGGAUAGCCCGGCGAAAGCCGGAUUAAUACCGCAUACGACAUAAGGGUGACAGGGGGGGAUCGCAAGACCUCUCGGUAUUGGCGCGGCAGAUGUCAGAUUAGGUAGUUGGUGGGGUAAAGGCCUACCAAGCCGACGAUCUGUAGCUGGUCUGAGAGGACGACCAGCCACACUGGGACUGAGACACGGCCCAGACUCCUACGGGAGGCAGCAGUGGGGAAUUUUGGACAAUGGACGCAAGUCUGAUCCAGCCAUGCCGCGUGCGGGAAGAAGGCCUUCGGGUUGUAAACCGCUUUUGUCAGGGAAGAAAUCUUCUGGGCUAAUACCUCGGGAGGAUGACGGUACCUGAAGAAUAAGCACCGGCUAACUACGUGCCAGCAGCCGCUGUAA
rnacentral:rRNA from 1 species